CGAUGAAUUUUUCUCCUAAGAUAGAGACCUAGUCUGAUGAACCUUCUCCUAGGAUCCAAAUCUUAGUCUGAUGAAUCUUUCUCCUAAGAUACCAAAAAGAAAAGACCUAGUCUGAUGAGCCUUCUCCUAGGAUCAAAAUCUUAGUCCGAUGAAUUCUUCUCCUAAGAUAGAGACCUAGUCUGAUGAACCUUCUCCUAGGAUCAAAAUCUUAGUCUGACGAAUCUUUCUCCUAAGAUACCAAAAAACAAGACCUAGUCUGAUGAACCUUCUCCUAGGAUCAAAAUCUUAGUCCGAUGAAUUUUUCUCCUAAGAUAGAGACCUAGUCUGAUGAACCUUCUCCUAGGAUCCAAAUCUUAGUCUGAUGAAUCUUUCUCCUAAGAUACCAAAAAAGCAAGACCUAGUCUGAUGAACCUUCUCCUAGGAUCAAAAUCUUAGUCUGACGAAUUUUCCUCCUAAGAUAGA
rnacentral:lncRNA from 1 species